rnacentral:lncRNA from 1 species
GGAAGCCUUUUCCGUAGAGAAAAAAAUACUCUUGAUAAAUAACUAUAACUAAAUAUAUCUUGGAUAUCCUAUAUGUUAGAACAAGUCUCCGAGUACAAAAAUAAUCAAUAAUAUCAAAGAUACAAACAAAAUGCUAGCACCUAUUGGCAAAAGAAAAGAAGAAAAAAUGCUCACUUCACACCAGACUUUGAAAGGAGCCGAAAUGCUCUGUUGGAAUUGUUCAAGGCAGAGCACGAUCUCUUGACUGACAUGAUUUUAGAUAUUAACAAGCAACAUGAUUAACAAGCAUUAUCAGAACAAAUAAAGGAUUUUAGAAACAAACUACAAACCAUUAUCAGAAUAGAUAAUUUUAGAAAUUAACAAGCAACAUUAUUUAUUUUAGCCUUCUCCUUCUCCCUUUCAGAGUGAGGCAAGAAAACUUGUCUGCAAAAGAAUUAUGCACUUUUACAUACAUAUGUAAACCAUCAUGCAUCCAAUAAUAUGUUUCUUCAAUUUGUAGCUACCAUUAAUAAACUUAUCCAAUCUUUGAUCAGUUUUUCAAAACUUGUUACUUUUCUAUAUUCUCUACCUAAUUUAAUGGUUCACUUGAGAAAUUCAACAAAAUUUCAAAAGGUAAAAAGAAAAAAGAACAAGAACAAUAAGUGGUUUAAUUGAGAUUAUAGUAAGAACCAAAACAAGUAGAAAUGACAGUCAUAUUCUAUUAGAGUAUUAGGUGAAUUUGGUAUGCGUGAGAUCCACUUCUUAUUAUGAAUAAUAUCAUUUCACACUAGCACGACCCAAUAUGUUAUAUGAUUAACGACUUGCACUAAAAGCAAUAAGAAACCAAAGACAUCUACUUGUCCAGUGACAUCAAUUAGGCAUAUAUCUGUUGGGAUUGUGUAAUGGAUUUACCAACUUUAAAUUCGAGCAAAUUUUUAUCAAACCUACACAGAGCAUAAAAACCAAAACCUACUACUCCAUAAAUGCACGCUGGUUAGGCACAUGUUGUUUUUCAAACACAAAACAAAUUGACUUUCCUCAUCAGGGGGCCAAGAUUCUUAGGUGAUGAAAGCAUUAGUAGUAAUAAGGAUGUUUUGUUUUCUAAAUGAUUUCUACUUUUGAUACUGGAUACGGAUAGUUUAUUAUUAGUUUAUUACUCUAUUAUUAGCAGAGCCAAAGCUAAUGAUUUAGUGGGUAGAGCAACUUUGUUACCUUCUCGUCACAAGCAUGGCAGACAAUGAGCACGACGAGGGACGGCUGGAAAAGACCCACUGAGCAAGAUAAGGGGUUAUAGGCCGCGACGACUCGAAAACUACCGCGACGAAGCUCGCGACUGCCAAUUGAGGUGCGGGCGUGGAGCAGGACGAAUAUCUCCGGACGACGACAAUCAGAAGUCCAGCGACGGCGGUCGGAGUGGAGGAAGCUAGGGUUUCCUUCCAGGGAGAUGCUCGUUCUUCUCUGAGCAACUGAGCAUGGUGAGAGGAGGAGAGAGAACUAAAGACCCAACCCAACCUGUUUCAAUCAUUUUUGUUUUCUGAAACUACUCCCAACGAUCAAGAAGGCCCAACCCAUGAAGCUGGACGCACGGAACCCACUACGAUGAAAUCCCGUUUCUUGUUCAACCUACCGGCUCGGCUCAGCGAACCCUUCCCAUGAGCUCCCAUAUUCUACUCAGAGCCUACUCCAUUCUGCAAAAUUAAGCAACACGUGUGAGAAGAAGAUGUAGGUAGAAAGAAUAUUUGUAUAUCUGUAUAGAAAUUAAUCUGUACAGUAGAUUGACCCUUUUAGAAAAUUAACUUACCAAAUACUAAUUAUAAAGAAGAAAUUAUCCACCAUUACUAUUUACUAGUGGAAAAAUUUAAAAUUAAUGGCUAAAUAUUAUCAUCUCCCACUAUAAAUAUUCUAUCAAAUUCAAAUUUUUUUCAAUCUUAA